CUUCUCCAAUUGACAGGACUGCACCAUUCUACAUAACCAACCAGAAAAUGAACCUGCUUCACUGAUGCAGUACUGAAACACAAUCAUCUCUAAUCCUUAGAGUUGUUGCUGGCUGAAGUGUAGAUUAAAGUGCAAGCAUGGAGAAGGUAUGCAGGCUAUCCUCAUUGGAUCGGGUGUUUAACCGCCCUUCUUCGGCCACCCUCUCUUGGAACAGUCGCAGUGCUCUCUGCCAUCUAUGGCCAUUUCGCGCCGGAGCAUCAGAGAAGAUCACACGGUUUAGUCGAAAGAAGAAGAGCCUCAGUGCGAAGACCAUGUCGGUAUAGGAUCCCCUCAUCCGCACUGCAAGUGGAAGCUU
rnacentral:lncRNA from 1 species